rnacentral:lncRNA from 1 species
AGACCUGGAGAGCAGAAGACCUGGGCCGGGAGCGGGGCUUUGCCAGGGUCCAUUGUACUCACGCUGGGGGGCUAGAGACCUUCUUUUACUGGUUCUGCUUAUCAGCCAAACUUCACCUAACCUUUGGACUUGUUAAGCCAGUGCCUUGCAGCCUAGGCGCGGGGCUUUUCCACCGGUUCUCAGUUCCGCUUUAGUCCAGAGAGAAGACACUACGCUUCGGGGUUCAGGUGAGAGCCAGAGGAAGCUGGGGUGCUCGUGGAAGAAGGGGACGCAGGAGGAAGCGAAGAGUAGAGACCCUGGAUGCGUCCCGGCCGACGCAGGUGGUGGGCCAGGAGAGCCCGCAGGGCGGAAGAGAAACUGACCACUUAGGAAGGGGCGCCGAGGCCACGGGGGAGGUGAGGCAGCGUUAGGUGUGGUGAGCAUGCCCUGGAGGGACUCCAUUUAUUUCUACCUCGGUUACUACCUCCAGGCCCCAGAACCUCCCUGGCCUGGUCUGGCGGUUUGGGUUUGCAGAACUGCCCGCCAGAGAGCGUAGGCGAGGGUGAAGGAGUCCGGGAGAACUCUUGGAAAGAGACUACUUUAUGGGUAGAGGGAGUAGCCAAAGUGAAGCUCCCCCAGCAGCUGGGCUGCACCGGCGCCCAGCCUGGCCACGCCACUGGGGAGCUGGACCCCUGGGGCUCCUCACUCUCCUGUUUAAACCCGGAUGUCAAGGCGCCUCCGCCUUGGGGGAGGAUGGUGAGGCAGAAUGGUGAGGCACUAGGAUGGUGAGGCACUAGGAUGGUGAGGCACUAGGAUGGUGAGGCAGUGAAAGCAAAGCUUGACCUGCAGCUGGGUGGACACUUGCAGCCGAGGGUCCCCCCGGCCCACUCAUUUCUGGUUUAUUCGUAGUUCCAGAACAUCUGUGGUUCCCUGGGCCGGGGACGAGCUCUGUAGACGAGGUCACUGCAGCAGUGGCAGAAGUCUUGCACUCCUAGUACAGAAGGUGUCGACAGAGCUACUGAGGGAAAGAUGUUUUUUUUCCCACUCUGGCCUGGGCCAGGUAGGAAGCCAUAGGCCUUGCAGCACUAUUGGAGUUUCACCUGCUUCCCCCCUGGUGACGGGCAGGAGGGGAGGGCGGCGGAAGCGCGCCCAAACCGGCAAGCUAGGACCUGACCUGUAGAAGAACAGGGAAAGGGGCUUCUUUGCUUCCACCACACACAGACCUAAAGCUUCUGGGGAGGAGCAUAACGCUUCCCUUCUGGGAGCCUCAGUUUCCUCAUCUGCAAAAAGAGGAUACCACUGAUAACCUUUUUUUGGGGGUUGUGUAUAUUGACUGAGGCCACUUGUGCAACCGCUUGGUCUAAUAAUAAAGUUCAACACUUUCUGGUCUGAGAAGACGGGAAGCCAGUUCCCAGUAGUAAAACUGAGUUACUCUGGAAACUUAGGGUAUUCAGAAUUGGUGAUACAGUGCUGGGGUUGGAGGGAUUGGGGGACUAGGGUUUCAGAAUCAGCAGAAAAAUUGCAAAGGAGUUUCUAAGCACAUUUUCCUUCCUCUCCCACCCUUGAAAGAUAUCUAGGAGGAAGUAAGGUUAGGUUAGGGAUAGAGAGGAAUUUCAGCAGGAGGAGGAAGAGUCUAGCAGCUCUCAUCUGCCUAGGGGCAGGAUCUAAUCUCCUAGGUGUGCAAGGGCUGAUGGUGUAAUUUAUCAAGUCAGGCUGUUAAGGAGCUAGGAUGCCUCUUAAAUACAGGGUCUGCUACAGGUGCCUGGGCCACUUGUGCUGAGAGCCAGAAGGAAGCGGGAUGGUUGUGUGCGUGUAGCCUGAGGAAAGUUUACACUGAUCUCAGUCCCUCUUUCCCGGAGACAAGCAAAUCCCAAAUUCAGGAACCUCUCCAUCCUUCAGCCUCCAGACACCCAUUACUCCUCAGGGUGCCACAGGGAGUCAUAACUUCAUGAAAAUGUUGGCUUUUCAUUUCACCUUCUUUCCCUCUAGUUUGUUGUAAUAGGUGCAAAUCUUUGCUUCUCAUAAUUCUGCCCAAUGGAAGAACAUUCUCUGCCUACCCAGCUUGCCUCAAGAAGGAUAAUGAAGUGUUCAGAGUAAAUGUCCCUGAAGAACAAUCUCUUCGUCUGUCUCUCACUCGCUAUCAGGAUAGAAGCAUCAAGUGUAAUGAAGAUCAGUUUCUGUGUUAAGCUGGGAAAACCCAUUUAAAAAACAGCAAUCACUUCUGUUGUAACAACAAAACUUUGAUUGGCAGUUGCAGCUGCUGUGUGCCCCAUCUGAUUCCCAAGCCUCAUUCUCUCUCAAAAUUCAGGUGUCAGCAAACCCAUUCUUCCCCACACCCCAGCUAACUAUGUGAAUGUGCAGGCAAUUUCACACAGAGGAUAGGACAAACUUCCUAUGAGUGUCCAGGACGUGCAAUCCCUGGUAUAAAAUAAGUUGAAAUCCAGUUGACUCAUCAUUCUAUGAAGGUGUUCUGAGCACCAUGCUGGUCAUUCCACAGAUUGGCAAAUGUGGCUUCUGUGAACUCAUCUCCCCUGGAACUUAGCAGCACAAGCGAUAUUUCUUUUCUGAUUUGUGCAUGCAAUCUUUCCCCUACUUUUCACGGUUGCACUUCUUUGUUUACAGAAGAGAUUCUGGUCAUUUCCACCCCUGCCACUCCACUCUCCCAGCCUCUCUCAUUGGUUCACAGAGUAUCUAGAAGGCCUCAAAAUAAAAUCAUCUCUAGAGUAAAACAUAAAUACCAUCCUAACCUGUUCUGCAGGAGGUCAGGGGCCUUCUUGUUAGAGAGCAGUGUUGCAACCUGGAGAACAUUCUAGACAUCAGGGUCUGGAAAGAGCCUGAGGUUCUUCUUCUGGCUACAAAACCUCUUUCUGGGUGAUUCAUCUCCCCAAAAGUUUUGGUGAGCACCUUCUCUGGGUCUCUGAUUCUACCUUUGAAAAAUGGCUAUUGGUCUGGAUAACCAUUUAGGUCCUCCAACUUUUUUUUAUAAUUUGAAAUUCCUAAAAGGUCUUAAAUUAUUAGGGUGUCUACUUGCAGGCCUUCGGGCAGAUGGGCCAAGAGCUCAGGCCAGACCUCUGUGUAGUAGUGGACAUGAAGCCUUGACUAGCCACGAAAAAAUAUACCACAGAGAGCAAACCCUAUGAGGGGCAGGCAUCUUCUCAUGUCUUACUCCUCAGUGCCUGGAGAAGUGCUGGUGCAUGGUAGAUGCUCAAGAAAAUGCUUACUGAGUAAACGAACAUGUGAUUGCCUCUGGACAAUACUGUUAAAACUAAAUACUUGCCAGGUGUGGUGGCUCACACCUGUGAUAGUUCUUUGGGAGGCCGAGGUGGGAGGAUAGCUUGAGCCCAGGAGUUCAAGCAAAAUAGUGAGACCCUGUCUCUACAAAAAUAAAAAAUAAAAAAAUUAGCCAGGCAUGGUAGUGCAUGCUUAUAGUCCUGGCUACUCAGGAGGCUGAGGUGGGAGGAUCGCUUGAACCCAGGAGUCUGAGGUUCCAUUGAACUAUGAUCGUGUCACUGCACUUCAGCCUGGGUGACAGAAUGAGACCCCAUUCUCUAAAUAAAUAAAUAACUACUUUCACCAGACACGAAAGAGUAUAUACUGUGUGAUUCCAUUUAUAUAAAGUUAAAAAGUGGAAAAACAAAUCCGUGGUGCUGGAGGUUUCUGGGGUGCUAGAAAUGGUUCUAUAUUUUGAUUGGGAUGGUGGAUCCAUCACCAGGCUAUACAUGUGGGAUCUGUGCAUGUUGCCAUAUGUAAGUUAUAAAUUAGUAUAAAGUAAAUUAAAUAAAUUACUCCAAGUAUAAAAUGUAAACAGUGUGGGGCCGGGCGCGGUGGCUCAUGCCUGUAAUCCCAGCACUUUGGGAG